GAGGCUAUAGCUCAAGUGGUAGAGCGCAUGCUUAGCAUACCCAAGUGCCUGGGUUCAAUUCCCAGUACCCCCU
rnacentral:tRNA from 1 species